rnacentral:misc_RNA from 1 species
AACGCACGAGACCUGCGGACCUGCGGAGGGAUCAUUAUUGAAAGCUUUUGGGAGAUACUGUUGCUGGCUUUUAAACAAGGCAUGUGCACGUAUUUCUUAAAUCUAUUCAUCCACCUGUGCAUCUUUUGUAGAAUGUCUCUUUUCAGAUCGGAUUUCUUUUUGCAGGUGUCUUUAGGGACUCUGUGAGGGAAUAAUGAUUUUGGAUAGAGCUUCUAUGUUUUACAAACAAGUUAAGCAUGU